UUCCGUAGGUGAACCUGCGGAAGGAUCAUUACAGAGUUCAUGCCCUCACGGGUAGAUCUCCCACCCUUGUGUAUUAUAUCAUAUGUUGCUUUGGCGGGUGCAAGCCCGCCAGAGGACCCAAACUCUGAGUUUAGUGUCGUCUGAGUACUAUAAAAUAGUUAAAACUUUCAACAACGGAUCUCUUGGUUCUGGCAUCGAUGAAGAACGCAGCGAAAUGCGAUAAGUAAUGUGAAUUGCAGAAUUCAGUGAAUCAUCGAAUCUUUGAACGCACAUUGCGCCCCUUGGUAUUCCGAGGGGCAUGCCUGUUCGAGCGUCAUUAUAACCAAUCCAGCCUGGCUGGGUCUUGGGCUCCGCCAACCGGCGGGCCUUAAAAUCAGUGGCGGUGCUGCCAGGCUCUAAGCGUAGUAAAUACCUCGCUAUAGGGUCCUGGUGGAGGCUUGCCAACAACCCCCAACUUCUUAGGUUGACCUCGGAUCAGGUAGGGAUACCCGCUGAACUUAAGCAUAUCAAUAAGCGGAG
rnacentral:rRNA from 1 species